AUACGGAGGGUGCAAGCGUUACUCGGAAUCACUGGGCGUAAAGCGCGCGCAGGCGGGCUGAUAAGUUGGAUGUGAAAGCCUACGGCUCAACCGUAGAACUGCAUCCAAAACUAUUAGACUAGAGUGUGGGAGAGGAAGAUGGAAUUAGUUGUGUAGGGGUAAAAUCCGUAGAGAUAACUAGGAAUACCAAAAGCGAAGGCAAUCUUCUGGAACACUACUGACGCUGAGGCGCGAAAGCGAGGGGAGCAAACUGGAUUAGAUACCCCAGUAGUCC
rnacentral:rRNA from 1 species